UACGUAGGGUGCGAGCGUUGUCCGGAAUUAUUGGGCGUAAAGAGCUCGUAGGCGGUGUGUCACGUCGUUCGUGAAAACCUGCAGCUUAACUGUGGGCGUGCGGUCGAUACGGGCAUCACUGGAGUUCGGCAGGGGAGACUGGAAUUCCUGGUGUAGCGGUGAAAUGCGCAGAUAUCAGGAAGAACACCCCGUGGCGAAGGCGGUUCUCUGGGACGGUACUGACGCUGAGACGCGAAAGCGUGGGGGAGCGAACAGG
rnacentral:rRNA from 1 species